rnacentral:lncRNA from 1 species
UAAAUUUUACUUUUGUAAGUCUCACGAAAUUCGAUUGUCUAUAACUUUCCGUGGACAUUUAUAUACCAUACAUACACAUAACACACAUUUGUUGACAUUUUCCAGCAAUUGCGAAAGUUUUAUUGGCAGGAACGUAACUUAACAGGCUUGACAGGAACGCAACUUAACAGGCUUGACAGGAACGCCUUAACCAAACCGCAUAUUCAUUUGUGGCGUGCGCUUCUGAUAAC